UACGGGGGGGUAAGCGUUGUUCGGAAUUACUGGGCGUAAAGGGCUCGUAGGCGGCCAACUAAGUCGGACGUGAAAUCCCUCAGCUUAACUGGGGAACUGCGUCUGAUACUGGAUGGCUUGGAUUUGGGAGAGGGAUGCGGAAUUCCAGGUGUAGCGGUGAAAUGCGUAGAUAUCUGGAGGAACACCGGUGGCGAAGGCGGCAUCCUGGACCAAUAUUGACGCUGAGGAGCGAAAGCCAGGGGAGCAAACGGG
rnacentral:rRNA from 1 species